GGGGGGGGGGGGGGGGGGGGGGGGUGCGGGCGGGUCGGGCGGAGGGGCGGGGAGCUUGCUUCUCUGGUGUUGGCGGCGGGCGGGUGCGUGACACGUGGCUCACCUCCCUAUAAGCGUGGGGUAACUUCGGGCACCCGGCGCUCAUACCGGCUCAUAUUUUUAACCGCAUGGUUCAAAAGUGAAAGCCGGUCUUGCUGUCCCUUAUAGAUUGAUCCGCGCUGCAUUAGCUAGUUGGUAAGGUCCCGGCUUACCCAGGAAACGAGGCAUAGCCGACCUGAGUGGGUGAUCGGGCACACUGGAAGUGAGACACGGGCAAGAGACCUACGGGAGGCAGCAGUAGGGAAUCUUCCGCAAAGAGCGAAAGCCUGACGGAGCAACGCCGCGCGAGUGAUGAAGGUCUUCGGAUCGUAAAACUCUGUUAUUAGGGAAGAACAUAUGUGUAAGGAACUGUGCACAGAUUAACGGUACCUAAUCAGAAAGCCACGGCUAACUACGUG
rnacentral:rRNA from 1 species